rnacentral:rRNA from 1 species
UACGUAGGGGGCGAGCGUUGUCCGGAUUUAUUGGGCGUAAAGAGCGUGUAGGCGGCUUGGUAGGUCCGCUGUGAAAACUCGGGGGCUCAACCCCGAGAGGUCGGUGGAAACCAUCUGGCUAGAGUCCGGAAGAGGAGAGUGGAAUUCCCGGUGUAGCGGUGAAAUGCGCAGAUAGUCGGGAAGAAUAUCCGUGGCGAAGGCGGCUCUCUCGGUACGGCACUGACGCUGAGACGCGAAAGCGUGGGGAGCGAACAGG